rnacentral:rRNA from 1 species
AUUGAUUAUGACGUACUUGUACUGAUUGAGAUUUUAACACGAAGUGAGUGGCGAACGGGUGAGUAACACGUGGGUAACCUGCCCAGAAGUAGGGGAUAACACCUGGAAACAGAUGCUAAUACCGUAUAACAGAGAAAACCGCAUGGUUUUCUUUUAAAAGAUGGCUCUGCUAUCACUUCUGGAUGGACCCGCGGCGUAUUAGCUAGUUGGUGAGGUAAAGGCUCACCAAGGCAGUGAUACGUAGCCGACCUGAGAGGGUAAUCGGCCACAUUGGGACUGAGACACGGCCCAGACUCCUACGGGAGGCAGCAGUAGGGAAUCUUCCACAAUGGACGCAAGUCUGAUGGAGCAACGCCGCGUGAGUGAAGAAGGGUUUCGGCUCGUAAAGCUCUGUUGUUAAAGAAGAACGUGGGUAAGAGUAACUGUUUACCCAGUGACGGUAUUUAACCAGAAAGCCACGGCUAACUACGUGCCAGCAGCCGCGGUAAUACGUAGGUGGCAAGCGUUAUCCGGAUUUAUUGGGCGUAAAGCGAGCGCAGGCGGUCUUUUAAGUCUAAUGUGAAAGCCUUCGGCUCAACCGAAGAAGUGCAUUGGAAACUGGGAGACUUGAGUGCAGAAGAGGACAGUGGAACUCCAUGGGUAGC